rnacentral:rRNA from 1 species
AACGAACGCUGGCGGCGUGGCUAAGGCAUGCAAGUCGAACGGACCCCUGGAGUGGGUAACUUGAAAGGGAGUCAGUGGCGAACGGGUGAGUAAUGAAUGGGUAACGUCCCCUGGACUCAGGGAUAGCGGGCGGGCCGCAAGGUCCUUUGCGAAAGUGCCGGUAAUACCUGAUGACCCCGCGUGACCGCAUGGUCGAGCGGGCAAAGCGU